UUCUCUGGUUCUUUAUCUUAAAAGUAGGGUAAAAGUGAUGUAAACAUCAAUAAAUUGUCUUGUAGGUUAUAACUCAUUAUCAGCUACCUCAUAUGCAUGUUUAAUGUACCUGUUAUCAUCCUGAAUAUGUAUGUAAUAUUUGCAGCUGGAUGUUAAGCAUACAUCAAAACUUAACUAUAAUUACAAUAUAUUUUAAUCCAAAUCUUAUUUUCAAUGUUUGAAAGGAAGUUGAAUUCGAAAUUGUACAACAAAU
rnacentral:lncRNA from 1 species